rnacentral:rRNA from 1 species
GAUGAACGCUGGCGGCGUGCCUAAUACAUGCAAGUCGAGCGAAUGGAUUAAGAGCUUGCUCUUAUGAAGUUAGCGGCGGACGGGUGAGUAACACGUGGGUAACCUGCCCAUAAGACUGGGAUAACUGCGGGAAACCGAGGCUAAUACCGGAUAACAUUUUGAACCGCAUGGUUCGAAAUUGAAAGGCGGCUUCGGCUGUCACUUAUGGAUGGACCCGCGUCGCAUUAGCUAGUUGGUGAGGUAACGGCUCACCAAGGCAACGAUGCGUAGCCGACCGGAGAGGGUGAUCGGCCACACUGGGACUGAGACACGGCCCAGACUCCUACGGGAGGCAGCAGUAGGGAAUCUUCCGCAAUGGACGAAAGUCUGACGGAGCAACGCCGCGUGAGUGAUGAAGGCUUUCGGGUCGUAAAACUCUGUUGUUAGGGAAGAACAAGUGCUAGUUGAAUAAGCUGGCACCUUGACGGUACCUAACCAGAAAGCCACGGCUAACUACGUGCCAGCCGCCGCAGUAA